AGAGUUUGAUCAUGGCUCAGAUUGAACGCUGGCGGCAGGCCUAACACAUGCAAGUCGAACGGUAACAGGAAGAAGCUUGCUUCUUUGCUGACGAGUGGCGGACGGGUGAGUAAUGUCUGGGAAACUGCCUGAUGGAGGGGGAUAACUACUGGAAACGGUAGCUAAUACCGCAUAACGUCGCAAGACCAAAGAGGGGGACCUUCGGGCCUCUUGCCAUCGGAUGUGCCCAGAUGGGAUUAGCUAGUAGGUGGGGUAACGGCUCACCUAGGCGACGAUCCCUAGCUGGUCUGAGAGGAUGACCAGCCACACUGGAACUGAGACACGGUCCAGACUCCUACGGGAGGCAGCAGUGGGGAAUAUUGCAUAAUGGGCGCAAGCCUGAUGCAGCCAUGCCGCGUGUAUGAAGAAGGCCUUCGGGUUGUAAAGUACUUUCAGCGGGGAGGAAGGGAGUAAAGUUAAUACCUUUGCUCAUUGACGUUACCCGCAGAAGAAGCACCGGCUAACUCCGUGCCAGCAGCCGCGGUAAUACGGAGGGUGCAAGCGUUAAUCGGAAUUACUGGGCGUAAAGCGCACGCAGGCGGUUUGUUAAGUCAGAUGUGAAAUCCCCGGGCUCAACCUGGGAACUGCAUCUGAUACUGGCAAGCUUGAGUCUCGUAGAGGGGGGUAGAAUUCCAGGUGUAGCGGUGAAAUGCGUAGAGAUCUGGAGGAAUACCGGUGGCGAAGGCGGCCCCCUGGACGAAGACUGACGCUCAGGUGCGAAAGCGUGGGGAGCAAACAGGAUUAGAUACCCUGGUAGUCCACGCCGUAAACGAUGUCGACUUGGAGGUUGUGCCCUUGAGGCGUGGCUUCCGGAGCUAACGCGUUAAGUCGACCGCCUGGUGAGUACGGCCGCAAGGUUAAAACUCAAAUGAAUUGACGGGGGCCCGCACAAGCGGUGGAGCAUGUGGUUUAAUUCGAUGCAACGCGAAGAACCUUACCUGGUCUUGACAUCCACGGAAGUUUUCAGAGAUGAGAAUGUGCCUUCGGGAACCGUGAGACAGGUGCUGCAUGGCUGUCGUCAGCUCGUGUUGUGAAAUGUUGGGUUAAGUCCCGCAACGAGCGCAACCCUUAUCCUUUGUUGCCAGCGGUCCGGCCGGGAACUCAAAGGAGACUGCCAGUGAUAAACUGGAGGAAGGUGGGGAUGACGUCAAGUCAUCAUGACCCUUACGACCAGGGCUACACACGUGCUACAAUGGCGCAUACAAAGAGAAGCGACCUCGCGAGAGCAAGCGGACCUCAUAAAGUGCGUCGUAGUCCGGAUUGGAGUCUGCAACUCGACUCCAUGAAGUCGGAAUCGCUAGUAAUCGUGGAUCAGAAUGCCACGGUGAAUACGUUCCCGGGCCUUGUACACACCGCCCGUCACCAUGGGAGUGGGUUGCAAAAGAAGUAGGUAGCUUAACCUUCGGGAGGGCGCUUACCACUUUGUGAUUCAUGACUGGGGUGAAGUCGAAACAAGGUA
rnacentral:rRNA from 1 species